rnacentral:rRNA from 1 species
UACGUAGGGGGCGAGCGUUACCCGGAUUUACUGGGCGUAAAGGGGGCGUAGGCGGCCGUGAAAGUCCGGUGUGAAAACUCACGGCUCAACCGUGGGACUGCGCUGGAAACUACACGGCUUGAGGACGGUAGAGGGAGACGGAACUGCUGGUGUAGGGGUGAAAUCCGUAGAUAUCAGCAGGAACGCCGGUGGAGAAGUCGGUCUCCUGGGCCUGUACUGACGCUCAUGCACGAAAGCGUGGGGAGCAAACAGG